rnacentral:lncRNA from 1 species
UCAACCCAACAAGGAUCGUUGAUCCGAAAAUAAUUCUAGUGAGUUCUCACAAUCCACCAGUGACGUUUAGCAGCAUGUAAUGAUAAUCCAGUAAAACAAAAAAAUCUGAACCUCUAGGUGCAGUUACCAUGCGAUAUAGUUCUUUUAUCGUAAGUCCUGACUAGACGGAGGUCAUGGAGAACCUGUCAAAUUUCAUCAUCAGUCAUAUGCC